UAUGGGAGGCAGCAGUGGGGAAUAUUGCACAAUGGGCGCAAGCCUGAUGCAGCCAUGCCGCGUGUAUGAAGAAGGCCUUCGGGUUGUAAAGUACUUUCAGUCGUGAGGAAGGUGUUAAGGUUAAUAACCUUAGCAAUUGACGUUAGCGACAGAAGAAGCACCGGCUAACUCCGUGCCAGCAGCCGCGGUAAUACGGAGGGUGCGAGCGUUAAUCGGAAUUACUGGGCGUAAAGGGCACGCAGGCGGUUAAUUAAGUUGGAUGUGAAAUCCCGGGCUUAACCUGGGAAUGGCAUUCAAGACUGGUUAGCUAGAGUCUUGUAGAGGGGGUAGAAUUCCAUGUGUAGCGGUGAAAUGCGUAGAGAUGUGGAGGAAUACCGGUGGCGAAAGGCGGCCCCUGGGACAAAGACUGACGCUCAUGUGCGAAAGCGUGGGGAGCAAACAGGAUUAGAUACC
rnacentral:rRNA from 1 species